rnacentral:rRNA from 1 species
GUGCGGGUGCUAUACUGCAGUCGACGAAACUUUCUUACACCGAAUGCUUGCAUUCACCGUAAGAAGUUGAGUGGCGGACGGGUGAGUAACACGUGGGUAACCUGCCUAAAAGAAGGGGAUAACACUUGGAAACAGGUGCUAAUACCGUAUAUCUCUAAGGAUCGCAUGAUCCUUAGAUGAAAGAUGGUUCUGCUAUCGCUUUUAGAUGGACCCGCGGCGUAUUAACUAGUUGGUGGGGUAACGGCCUACCAAGGUGAUGAUACGUAGCCGAACUGAGAGGUUGAUCGGCCACAUUGGGACUGAGACACGGCCCAAACUCCUACGGGAGGCAGCAGUAGGGAAUCUUCCACAAUGGACGCAAGUCUGAUGGAGCAACGCCGCGUGAGUGAAGAAGGUCUUCGGAUCGUAAAACUCUGUUGUUAGAGAAGAACACGAGUGAGAGUAACUGUUCAUUCGAUGACGGUAUCUAACCAGCAAGUCACGGCUAACUACGUGCCAGCAGCCGCGGUAAUACGUAGGUGGCAAGCGUUGUCCGGAUUUAUUGGGCGUAAAGGGAACGCAGGCGGUCUUUUAAGUCUGAUGUGAAAGCCUUCGGCUUAACCGGAGUAGUGCAUUGGAAACUGGAAGACUUGAGUGCAGAAGAGGAGAGUGGAACUCCAUGUGUAGCGGUGAAAUGCGUAGAUAUAUGGAAGAACACCAGUGGCGAAAGCGGCUCUCUGGUCUGUAACUGACGCUGAGGUUCGAAAGCGUGGGUAGCAAACAGGAUUAGAUACCCUGGUAGUCCACGCCGUAAACGAUGAAUGCUAGGUGUUGGAGGGUUUCCGCCCUUCAGUGCCGCAGCUAACGCAAUAAGCAUUCCGCCUGGGGAGUACGACCGCAAGGUUGAAACUCAAAGGAAUUGACGGGGGCCCGCACAAGCGGUGGAGCAUGUGGUUAAUUCGAAGCAACGCGAAGAACCUUACCAGGUCUUGACUCCUUUG